rnacentral:rRNA from 1 species
GUGGGGAAUAUUCCGCAAUGGACGAAAGUCUGACGGAGCAACGCCGCGUGAGUGAUGAAGGUUUUCGGACUGUAAAGCUCUGUUGUUUAGGACGAAAGUGCCUGUUGCGAACAGUUACAGGUAUUGACGGUACUAAACGAGGAAGCCACGGCUAACUACGUGCCAGCAGCCGCGGUAAUACGUAGGUGGCAAGCGUUGUCCGGAAUUAUUGGGCGUAAAGAGCAUGUAGGCGGAGAUUUAAGUCUGUUGUGAAAAUGCGGGGCUCAACCCCGUAUUGCGAUGGAAACUGAAUUUCUUGAGUGCAGGAGAGGAAAGGGGAAUUCCCAGUGUAGCGGUGAAAUGCGUAGAUAUUGGGAGGAACACCAGUGGCGAAGGCGCCUUUCUGGACUGUGUCUGACGCUGAGAUGCGAAAGCCAGGGUAGCGAACGGGAUUAGAUACCCGGGUAGUCC